CAGAUAGCGAGCACGAGGAAAGCAACAAACUAGUCUAACAGGAUGUAACGUUACAUUUGUUUUCCCUUCAUGAAUAGGCACCAUGUCUGAAAGGCACUUCCAGAUUGUUGAAGGUGUAGUCAUAGCUGUACUGUUCGUGUUAUUAUCCUGUGUUAGUAAUGGUUUGUAUCUGGCACUAAGCAGGAGUGAACUAUGAAUGGGUGUGGUGCCUCACAGCUUGGUUUCAGUUCAGGGAAAAUAUAACUUAAAUUACCACCACAUUAACUGAGGCAGCAGAGACAGACGGGACAAAGUAACAGACACCCUCUUCAUUGAGUUGAAUUGAGUUCAGGAUAAACAACAGAGGAAAAGUACAUCAACAUGAUGUCUUCAGCUGCUGAUAAGCCAGAUUGUGCGCUGAUGGUGGUUACUGUUGGAUUCUUGACGUUGAUCAUUGGAAUCGCUGUUGGAGUGAAACUGAAGGUGGCCACAGACCGGUUCGUUCAACAACAUCUAUGGAAGGUUUAUGUCUUUGUCCCUGUUUUUGUUGUUGCUUCUAUCAUGGUGGUUCUGAACUUGAAGAAACAGGAAGUAUAGAGGGAUACUGAAGCAUGACUCCUACAAUUAGCAAACACUUCUCUGUCAGUCACACAAAACUAUUGAAUGAAUGACUGAUUUGUAUGUUAUGUACAUUUGUUAUAAAUAGCAAUAAAAUACUUUUACAAAA